rfam:Acetomicrobium mobile DSM 13181 chromosome, complete genome.
UGAGCAUCUCAGAUGACCGCGUCCCCCAGUGGGAUGAGGAAAGUCCGGGCUCCACAGGGCAAAGCGCUGGAUAACGUCCAGCAGGCGCGAGCCUCGGGAGAGUGCCACAGAAACAUACCGCUCUCUUUUGAGAGUAAGGGUGAAAAGGUGGGGUAAGAGCCCACCGGUCAUUGGGCGACCAAUGAGCCAGGCAAACCCCGCUUGGAGCAAGAUCAAAUAGGGAGGAAUGAGGUGGCCCGCUGACCUCCGGGUUGAUCGCUGGAGAAGGGGCGCAAGUCCCUUCCAAGAGAAAUGGUCAUCUUUACACAGAACCCGGCUUAUGAGAUGCUCGAGAU